AUUUUUACUGCACAGCUAUAAACCCGUGAAAAUAUAUUUCAUAAUAUAAAUCCCAAGAGAGCUAUAACUAUACCAGGGCAAACAAGAUACUUCAAUAAAAAGUGCUUGAGUAUUGGAGCUGAAAUUUACUGCAAAAAGUAGUUCAGUUUGACAGCACAAGUAUGUUGCAAGCCAAAAAGAAAGGGAGAGAGGGAGAGAGGGAGAGAGAGAGACAGAUGGGAAGUGCUUAGCAUGAAGGAAGGUCCAAGAGGAAAGUAAAGUUAGAUAACUGGUUUUCAAUAUGGUUUUAAUAAAAAGAAUGGUUCUAAAUCUCUUUUUCAGUAUCUCUCUAUAACCCUUCUAAACUUGACUAAAUGCAAGAAGAGUCGCGUUACUACUGAAAUUCCUAGUCAUAGGAAUUGUCCACAGAUUGAACUGCCUGUUCAGGAGAGAACAGAGAUCUGCUAGAUGAAUGAAACCAAACCAGACACCGAGAUAUAUAUGUGUGAAAGAAAGACAUUUUCAGGUUUUCCCCUUGUGUUGAUAGAAGAGGAAUCCAGGCAACAUCUUUCACACCCAGACUAGUUUGCAAAUGGAAGGCUUAAGAGCUUGCUUGCUCAAAACGACUGGUACUCUGUAACUCUUCAGGAACACCUCUAUGACUUCUCACAUAGCUACUCCAGAUCAACUUCAACCACUGCAGCACGUCUCAAACUGAAACCUGUACUCU
rnacentral:lncRNA from 1 species